rnacentral:lncRNA from 1 species
GAACUCCACGUUUACGAGAUCAACGAGCGAGAUCGCGGCAGCCCUGCCGUCCUCCGAUUAAGCCAGAAGCCCGUCAACUCCCUCGGCGAUCUCGUCCCUUUCAGCAACAAAGUCAGUUCCCAUUUGUAUUCGUAACUCGACUAAAAAUGCAUAAAACUACCUUCUAACCUCACCAAACAAGAUUUUCAAAUUUGACUGAUAAUCUCCGAUUUCCCACAGCUGUACAGCGGGGACCUGAAGAAGAGAAUCGGGAUCACGGCGGGGAUAUGCGUGCUGAUCCAGCACAAGCCGGAGAAGAAAGGUGACCGGUACGAGGCGAUCUACAGCUUCUACUUCGGCGACUACGGCCAAAUCUCCGUCCAAGGGUCUUACCUCACUUACGAAGACAGUCAUCUUGCCGUCACGGGAGGCACGGGGAUCUUCGAAGGAGUGUACGGACAGGUGAAGCUGAAUCAGAUCGUCUUCCCUUUCAAGAUCUUCUACACGUUCUACCUCAAGGGGUUGAAGGCCGACUUGCCAGA